rnacentral:rRNA from 1 species
AGAGUUUGAUCAUGGCUCAGAGCGAACGCUGGCGGCAGGCUUAACACAUGCAAGUCGAGCGGGCUCUUUCGGGGGUCAGCGGCAGACGGGUGAGUAACACGUGGGAACGUGCCCUUUGGUUCGGAACAACUCCGGGAAACUGGAGCUAAUGCCGGAUACGCCCUUCGGGGGAAAGAUUUAUCGCCAAAGGAUCGGCCCGCGUCUGAUUAGCUAGUUGGUGGGGUAAUGGCCUACCAAGGCGACGAUCAGUAGCUGGUCUGAGAGGAUGAUCAGCCACACUGGGACUGAGACACGGCCCAGACUCCUACGGGAGGCAGCAGUGGGGAAUAUUGGACAAUGGGCGCAAGCCUGAUCCAGCCAUGCCGCGUGAGUGAUGAAGGCCUUAGGGUUGUAAAGCUCUUUCACCCACGACGAUAAUGACGGUAGUGGGAGAAGAAGCCCCGGCUAACUUCGUGCCAGCAGCCGCGGUAAUACGAAGGGGGCUAGCGUUGCUCGGAAUCACUGGGCGUAAAGGGCGCGUAGGCGGAUUGUUAAGUCAGAGGUGAAAGCCCAGGGCUCAACCCUGGAAUUGCCUUUGAUACUGGCAAUCUUGAGACCGGAAGAGGUUAGUGGAACUGCGAGUGUAGAGGUGAAAUUCGUAGAUAUUCGCAAGAACACCAGUGGCGAAGGCGGCUGACUGGUCCGGUUCUGACGCUGAGGCGCGAAAGCGUGGGGAGCAAACAGGAUUAGAUACCCUAGUAGUCC